rnacentral:rRNA from 1 species
GUCCUUUAGAGUAUGAUUUAAGGUCGGGCCUGCCCAAUGAAUUUUAAAUGGCCGCAGUAUAUUGACUGUGCAAAGGUAGCAUGAUCAUUAGUUUUUUAAUUGGAAGCUGGUAUGAAUGGUUUAAUGAGAAAUUGACUGUCUCUUAUUAAUUGAAUUGAAUUUUAUUUUUAAGUGAAAAAGCUUAAAUUUUGGUUAAAGACGAGAAGACCCUAUAGAGUUUUACUUUAUUAAAAGAAUUUUUGACAUAGGUUUAAGUUAAUUUUUUGUUAUUUAAAGUUUUAUUGGGGUGAUAGAAAAAUUUAAUUAACUUUUUUAUUUUAAAUACAUUUAUUUAUGAUUAAUUGAUCCUAAUAAUAGAUUAUUAGAUUAAAUUACC